rnacentral:lncRNA from 1 species
AGAAAUUCCUAGCUGGUCCUCACCUCACAAAUCUUGCCCCUUCCCCAAUGCUCAAAAUGGCUUAUUUUCCACAUAGCACCCUAAGAUAUCUAAGAGAUCUUUUCAAAUAAGUCAUAAUGGGAUUAUGACACAUUCCUGCUUCAACCUUCCAAUUGUUCUCAUUGCAUGAGAACAAAACCCGAACCUACAAGGCCCUGCAUGAGCUGACCUCUCACUGCCUCUCCAUCUCUCCCUUGCCCCAUUCACCCUUCCCUCACCUCCAGACAAUGGCAUGGUGGCCUGUCAGCUUCCCAGAGGCUCUGGCCUCUUCACUGCCUUAGGGUGCAUGUUUUGCCCACCUAGAAACCGAUGCCCCCACUUCCCUCCAGCUUUUUUUCUUUUUGCCUAAUUCUUACUCAUUCGACAAGUCUCAGCUCAAAUAUUACAUCCUUAAAGAAGCUUCUGUGUUAGCCUGGGUUCUCCAGAAAGUGAAGCCCAGGCAAAGGGUUGCUCGUCUGUUAUUUUAAUAGCAGGAGGGAGGACCAGGAAGGGAGGGGAGCAUGGAAGGAGGAAAGGCAAAUGUGAGGAUGUUCUGGGCAUCUCCAAAUGCAACUGGCUGCUUGAUCUGCAGGACCACAUCCCCAGGAAAUCAAAUAGACUUGGGACCAUCCUUCAGAAGCAAGCAAAGAGGAGAUACUGUCUCUGGCUCCUAUCUCUCAAUGCUCAAAGGUUCACCCAUGGGAUGUCAACUCUCCGGCAUUUCUAGGCUGUGCGUGUGUGAGCGUGAGCACUGAGAAGGCCUCCUGGUAUCAUUAACAGGGCAGCUCCAGAGCAGGAAGGCAGAGAUGUGAGAUACAGAUGGUGAGCGAUAGGCUAUCAGGUCGUACUUGCAUGAAAUCACCACCACCACGCAGAGCUGGAACAGGAGACAAAAGAAGCUGGGAAGAUCAAAGUGGAGUAUAAAAACUGGCUGAGAAAUUCUUCCUGAUCCUCCCAACUCCAUCCAGGUCAUCCUGUGACUUCAUUCAUUGGACAGGCUCCAGAAAGAACACAGCCCUACUGACACCCGGAUGUUAGCUCAAUAAGACCCGCGUUGGACUUCUAACCUGCGGAAUUGCCUCAGAUGCAAGUCCAGUGGGAGCUGGAGGGAGGAAGACAAAUCACACCGUACUCAGAGCGAUCUGUCCACUACAACUAAGUCCUGUGGCAUCGAACUGCUACAGGGUCCUCCUCCCCUAAGGCAAAAUUGUUUCCCAAGACUCUUUGCGGUCCCCUUGCCAAUAGUUUUCUGGCAUGUCCAUCACACCAAUUUGACAGAUGUGUCCAGAUACGACUGAAUCCUCCUUGGACUCAUUAGGACUCGCGCUCUAUGAAGACGGCAGUACACAAUUGGGACAAAAUAAGUGUUUCUCCUUCAAGAGGCUGCAGGAAUUCACAGAAGGGAGAUAAAGUUGAAUGGGGACAAAGACUCGGAAAGUCAGAGCACCAGGGAGCCCCUGAAAGAUUUUAAGACAUGCUACAGACUGAAUGUUUGUCUAUAGCACCAAAAUUCAUAUGUUGAAAUCCCAAUCCUAGUGUGAUAGCACUUGGAGGUGGGCCUUUGGGAGGUCCAGUGUGGGGGUUUUUUCAUCACCAAGCAAUUAACUCCAUUCCCCGCAGACACUGACCAGGUGUCCCACCAAUUUAACUCAAUUCUGACACUAUCUACCUGGAGAUUGCGGCAGAUUCCACAGACUAUGAGCUCAGUCCCACAAGACUGCCCCCACGUCAGAUGCCAAUUGCAAGUCCAGGUUGUCACCUGUGCUUCUGAAACAGUGGCUUUAAAUCAGAGGUUCACACAACUCUCUCCUUAGGUUCGAGUAGUUUGCUAGAAUGGAUCACAGAACUCAGGACACCAAUUUGCUCACUAGAUUACCAGUAAAUUACAAAGGAUGUUAAAGGAAUCGAAUGAACAG